CCUACGGGAGGCAGCAGUAGGGAAUCUUCGGCAAUGGGGGCAACCCUGACCGAGCAACGCCGCGUGAGUGAAGAAGGUUCUCGGAUCGUAAAGCUCUGUUGUAAGAGAAGAACGUGUGUGAGAGUGGAAAGUUCACGCAGUGACGGUAACUUACAAGAUAGGGACGGCUAACUACGUGCCAGCAGCCGCGGUAAUACGUAGGUCCCGUGCGUUAUCCGGAUUUAUUGGGCGUAAAGCGAGCGCAGGCGGUUGGAUAAGUCUGAAGUUAAAGGCUGUGGCGCAACCAUAGCAUGCUUUGGAAACUGGUCAACUUGAGUGCAGGAGGGGAGAGUGGAAUGCCAGGUGUAGCGGUGGAAUGCGUAGAUAGAGGGAGGAACACCGGUGGCGAAGGCGGCUCGCUGGUCUGUAACUGACGCUGAGGCUCGAAAGCGUGGGUAGCGAACAGGAUUAGAUACCCGAGUAGUC
rnacentral:rRNA from 1 species